UUGCUAUCAGUUAAUCUUUUUUCCCAAUGUAUGGGAGUGCACUGCUUUGUAAAUCAUACGCAUAAUGCGUUGAUUAUGGUUCUGUACUGUACAUUCAUAUAUUUCUGUACUUCAUUGAUUAUUUACGUGUUUGCGUUUUUCAUUUUCUGGUUUUGCUCCUAUGUAUUCUUUUUUCAAAUUUAGGUUCAUGCACGGCUUUAUUGGGUAUGUUAAUGCUUCGUUGGACAGAUUCUAUACUGCAUUUUGUACCGCAUUCGUACACAACUUGCACUGCAUGCAUCCUGUUUGCAAACUGCAACUCAUUUUUCAUUUCCUGCACUACUCGAAUCUAGUGAUACAUUAGCAGACAACAGAAAACAAAUUAUCACAGAUAUUCUGUACGACAAUUUCAUCACCAGCAAACUAAGUUGAGCAGAAAACAAACUAACAUAAUCAGAGUUCACCAUUACAAAGCGAUUGUGCAUGGCACGCAAACUAGGUUCAGCACACAAGCAAACUAACGAUACAUAAGCAAACAACACAAAGCAAAUUUGAUGAUAAUUCUAAAAGAACGCUGGCAUUCUUGUCUCCUGGCAGCACCAUCUUCUUCUUCACCAGUCAGGCUCUCCCCAUCCCCAACUGCUCCUGGCGCGCUUGUUGGGUGGCUCCUCCUUCUCCAGCUUUGCACGGCGAAGGCCGUCCUGGGUGAGGGUGAUGCGGUUCCAUAUCUUGUACGCUGCGUAGGUGUCCUUUGCCGCGUACUCGAUGUGCCUCCUGGACAGAGGCAGGAUGGCCCAGCGCUGGUGCUCGGCGUCGGUGAUCUUCUUCUUCAUGUUGUUGUAGUAGUCGUCAAUGAGCACGCCGGAGACGUCUCCGAGGGAGUCCAACGGCUUGGUUGCGUCGGGCACCAUCCACUCCUUCUAGAUGUCGACGAAGUUGGCGACCUCCACUUUGACGUGCUCCAGCCUGGUUUUGUCGCCGUCGAUGGAGAAGCCUGCAAAGAUGUACCUGGGGUCGGCGAGGAAGUUGUCGAAGACGGGGCACCUUUCAGUGUCGCUCAUUUGGAAGAGCAGCACCGGGUGAUUCUUGCCGAUGGAGAGCUGGCAGAGGGCGGGUUUCCGCAUCGCUUCAGGGUCGUUGUCAUACUCGAGAUCAAUGCCGGCGAUCUUGUGGCGCUGGAGGCUGAGGUGGCGCUCGUACUUCACGAGGGUGAUCGCCAUCUGCUUCUUGUUGUUGGUGUGGAUGACGUGCAACUUGGUGUUGCCGUGCGCCUCCGCGGCGUUGUCGCCCUUGUACUCGUCGGUGAACGUCAUCGCCGGUGGUGGGAGCGCAAUGGAUACUUGUGUUGUUGUGGAUGAGAAGGCCUUUGGCAGGGGUCUGAAUUUAAGGGGAGGGCGCGGGGUGGGAUGGCCUCGUCGGAUGAACUGCACGAUCGCGCUGAUGAUGCGGUUGUGCGGAUCGUGGCUUGGUUUUGCAUCUGUGAUCGUGGGCUUGUGGCGAUGGAACUGCUUCGAUCGGGUGUAUGUAUGCGAACGUGGUUUUUUUAAGGUGGAUUUUUUUUAUCAGCACAUUUUUUUAACCAUCACCUUUUUCUAUUCGAACGGGCAUUUUGUCAUGUUUUAUAGAUGUAUACUGGGUGACAACAUAACUGCAUUGCUUACAAUUACGCAUUGCAUCGCGUACAAAUCAGAACUGCAACAUUGUAUACAUGUGUGUACUUCAUCGUUUUUUGCGUGUCUUUGCUAUAUGCUUCGGCGGUCUGCAUUGCGCACCGGAAUGUACUGCAUACUUCUACUGACCCGUACUGCAUCUUGUUUUUCCGGUACUUAUUGCAGUCCCUGGCAAGGGACGGAUAGGAAAUGGGAGGGGGUGGGAGGAGCCCCACUUUUUUUUCGAACUUAUUGUUUUUUCUUGGUCGGUAUUGUUGGGCCUGUGUUCGGGUAUUUCAGAGACGCAUGUACGUUGUCAAUUUUUGGGUGGCUGGUGCCGGUAUCAUUUGGGUGAUCAGUUUUUAUUCUUUGUAUGCUUUUUAAUGACGUGGAGUGCACUGCUUUUUGGUAAAUCAUCGGUGCAGUGCAUUGAUCAUGGUUAUGUACUAGAUGUGAACUUCAUUCCUUACUGCAUGUACAGUUCUCAUUUUUAAUCCCGUGUUUUUACUUUUUUGUAAUCUUUUUUUCCGAAUGUAUGGGACUGCACUGCUUAGCAAAUUACGACUGUACUACAUUGUUUAUGAUACUGUACUGCAAGUUCGUGUACUUCCGCACUGCGUUAACUUAUUCCGCGUUUGCGUCUUUCUUCAUCCCGAAAAGAAAUGCAUAAUGGCGUACUGCAUCCCGUAUAGAAAUGGACUGCAUUUUUCCAGCAGUGCGUACUGCAUUUGUUUUUUUGCCUGUGCUUACUUUACUGUACGGGAGGUUUAAGGGGAGAGCGGAUGGGGGGCACAUUUUUUUUGUGUGGCACUUAAUUGAAGGUAGAAUUUUUUUUCUGGAUGUGUUAUUUUAACAUGUGUUUUGUUUUUGAUUUUAACUUUUUUUACGAACUGUAUGUAUUUUGUUUGUUGUUUUACCAUUUUUAAAUUUCAUGAUUCUUUACGAACUACAUCAUGUGUUUUUUUGUUGUUUUUUUAGUAAUAUGUGCGUUUUGAUGUAGACUGGCUUAUUUUGUCCGGGCUGUUUUUGGGCCGGCCCGUUAUUUGUUACCCUUUUUGCGAAACGCGGGCCUCCUGCGUGUCGUUUCCACGCUAUUCCACCGCUCCGCUGUCAGAGAAAGAGACCGAGAACAAUCCCCUCUCCUCUCUUGCAGUUUCUCCCGAGGCAUCUCUCCCUCGAGCAAAACCGCCAUCGCGCGCAGCAACCGCCGUCGCGCGGAGAACCGCCGCCCUCAAGAGGUCGUUAUUCCUGCAUUCGGCGUCGCUGUCCGCUCCGUGAGCCUUUGCCGCCGCGCUCCCACAGCCCUUUCCCGUCCCCGCCCUGCCUUCCCCCUUCCCGCCGCCGUCGCCGCACACUUUUCUUCGGUACGUUCCACUUGGCUUGGUGUUUUUAUGAUUCUUAUAGUUGUUGUAGCUCUUUUUGCUUGUGUAAUUUUUCGUAGGCAGUCGAUUUUAUCUCGUUUUGAAGUCGAUAGUUGUGUGUAGCAAUGCGGAUCUAGGUUUUCGUGAUAUUUUCGCCGAUUUUGUUGCUUAUGUCUGUCACUUCGUCCUUUGUGUUGCAGGGAAACGCUAUGUCUUCGCCGAGCAGGCAGGGAGAAGGAGUUCAGGGUAUGUGGAGUGAUUAUUCCUUAGGCUUUGUUUAUUUUGUUUGGUGUUUAUCUAGUUUCCUAAUUCAUCCUGCAUAUUGGGUUAUGCUCUGUUAGUUGUCAGCGUUCGUUGCAUUAUUUUGUCAUGUGAUGUUUUUGUAAUUUCUUUUUUCUUAUUUUUUUGAAUCCAGCAGGUGAUUGCAGUGCUCAUAAUGAUACACCAAUUGUCUUUCCUUGUCUUGGUGGUAAGGAUCAUGGUGUCGAGGGAGGACAUCAAGUGAAUUCGCCGAUUGAAUCUUCUCCUAUAAGUGUGGCCCCUCCUUCUGGUAUGUGAUUAAUUUGUUUAUUUUUGUGUAUGCUUUGUUUUAUCUAGUUCGACAUUUUUGUUGCGAAUAUCCGUGAUUUUACUAUAUGCAGCACUGCAUUUUAUUUUUGUAUGUGAACUCCAGAGUAUGUACUUGUGAACUGCAUUGUCGUUUUAUUCAAGUUUUUUGUGAUGCAUUAUUUUUUAAUUUGAGUUUAUGGUUGAGCACUACAUUUAUAUGUCUAACUGUACUGCAUUUGUUCUUUUUGUGCAAUUUUUAACGAGCAUAGACAAACUUUAUUUUGACGCAGUGUCUGUUUUCCAUGCUGGGGCGCCUGGGUUUGAGGAGGUUACUCAAUUGAUUGACCAUUAUUUUGCAGAGGGUAAUGUUGGUGUGAGCUUUGAUCAGAGACGUCCUGUCUUGUCUAAAACACAGUUGCAGUCUGUUGAUGGUACAGAGGAAGUUACACAGGAUUGGAUGGUCCCAGAACAGGUUCGUCAAUAUGAGUUGAAGCAAAGCAAGAAGAAGUUGAGGUUUGAAAUUGAGUCAAAAGAGUUUGCUGAAAAGAAGAAGCAGAGGAGAUCUGCAGAUGGUGCCAAGGGUGGUAAAUUUGGCAAGGUGAAGAAGAGGUUGAGUACUGUUGCUGAGGAAGGUGGUACACCUCAGUGGACCACGUGUUGCUGGAAUGAAGAAGAAUCUUGGCAAGAGAACCGCUGAAGUUGGUGGAAGUGAUGAUCCUCAGCGCAAACGACUAAAUGUCACUGAAGGUCCCAAUUCUGAUGACGAUGACUUUGUGCAUGCUGAUUAUGUGAAGGGUGUUCAUCCUUCUAGACGCAAAGACUGUGGUUCAUCUAAGACUGUACCCAAGCGUGCCCAUGAUGAUGUUGACGAAGAUGUUGGUGGUGAUUCUGGCGAGGAGGUGGAUGCUGCUCCAAAGGUUUGUUGAAGUGCACUGCAUUUGUUUCCUUCAUUUUGUUAUUCUUUCUGUAUUUUCUUUUUUUAUGCCUAAUCUUCUAAUGUGGACUGCAUUUCCCUUUACACAGAGGAAGAAGUCUAGUAAGAGCAAUGCAACUGAAGAUGAUGGUGAGGGAGAUGAUUCUCGAUUUAACAAGAUCGUGCGUUUAUCGCUUCCCACUGUUUGCAAGGCUGCUUCUUUGUUGAAAGAGGCGCAUUGCAGCCGUGUUAGGGAUGCUGGAUUUGGUGUUGUCUUUGAUCUGACAGUAAAGAAAAAUGUGUCGCGCAUUCUUAUGUGCUAUUUGAUGGGAGUGAUUGACCCUGCCACUAUGUUAAUGGACUUUGGGAAUGGCAGCGUUCUUCGAAUCAAUUGUGAUGCAGUUCAUCACAUUUUUGACUUACCUAUGGGAAGUCACAUUGCACCCAUGCCUGCUUCCAGCGGUCAUGAUGAAUCGUUUACUGCCCUCAAAGAUGAGCUUGGCUUUGACCGUUCAAAAAGUAUAGGUGUCAAGGACUUGCUUGAGAAGUUGAAGGUGUUGGUGGAGGAAGAUGAUUAUGUGAGUGUUGACCUUGCUGUGAAGGUGUUCUUCCUUAUACUUUACCAGAAUUUGCUGUGCCCGGGGCCUGCAGUUCGUUUGGGUAGAGUUGCUGCGAUGGUAGAGAACAUGGAUUAUGUGGCUAUGGCUCAGAUGGACUUUUGUCAGCUUGUUGUUGAUGAGUUGCAGGCAGCUGUGGUUAGGUGGCAAUCAGAAGGCAGCAAGCAGAAUUGUGCAGAGGGUUGUGUCAUUGUCCCCCUGAUUAUGUAUCUUGACUGCCUGAAGCUUCGCAAAUUUUCAGUCAUGCACACAUUGACGCCACGUGCGUCAUACCUGAUGACCAAGGACCUGAUGAAGUUGUACAAUGAGGAUGUGCUUGUGAAGGGAAAGAUUUACUUGGAAAGUUACAAAUUUGCGAAGCUGCCGGUUAGUGCACCCGAUUUUUUAAUAUCAGAUUUUUUAAAAAAAAAUGUGCAGUCAUUAUAAAUGUGAACUAUUCUAGUACUCACAUGUGUACUUCUCUUUGCGUGUUCUCUUUUUUUGCAGUGGAAGGCGUCAGGUGAUAUUGUGUACAACCGUCCUGUUGCAGUUGUACACGGCAGCUCUGAUGCGGAGCCUAGCACUCAUGAUAGGUUUUAUGAGCCUAUCUGUAGUCAGCUUCCUGGUUGUGAUGAUGAUGUGCCACAUACUCGUGGUUUCAUGCCUCGACAGAUGUUUGAUAAUACAAGCUCUUAUAAACAGACAUUUGUUGGCGGCAAAAAUCAUGAUGAGAUUGAUGAGCAUCUUCUGAAGGUUUUGAAGCUGACUGAAGAUUUGCCAACCUCUGGUGACAGGUUGAGGACAGUUGCUGGUUUUUUCCUUGUUGGCCAUGGCCCACGAGAUAAAGAUAUUGUUGCUGCUCACAAUUUUGAUUGUGGUGUGAUUGAAAGCCUGAAGAUUGCAGUGACAAAUGUUCGUUCUUCGUAAGCUCAAUUGAGACAUUCACAAGAAGAAAAAUGCGGUCGGUAUGAGAAGGAUGCUGGGCAUAUUGUGGAUGAAAUGAUCCGUCAGGACGCUGGCAUUGUUGCUGAUAAUGUAUGUUCUAUGUUUUUUGUGGUUUGGACCUCUUUUUUGUGUAUUAUGUUGACUGCUCCUCACUAUUUUUUUUGGUUAUAGGCUGGAGUGGAAUCUUCUGGUGUCAAUGGAACUAGAGACGAUGGAGUUGGUGAGGUAUAAAUACUCCUGCCAUGUCUGUUCUGCCAUGCUUCCCUUUUUCUUUGAACUUACAUUUGUUUGGUUCCCAUAUUUUUCUUGUGUACUUCUCUGUUGUGAAGUGUGUACUGCUUGUGCAUGGUUGGAGUUUUAUCUUUUUCGGUCGGUACCAUCUUCUUUCUCUUUUUUGGUUUGUUCUAUGGUCGUAGACUGGUGUCGUUGCUCAUGAUGUGCACAAAGAGACUUACGAUGGCUCUGGGAAGUAUGAGGUCUUGGGUGAUGCGGCGUCCCCUCUUGAUGUUGUAGCUGAUAAGGUAUAGUUGUAUUACUUGUUCUGUUAGUGGGCUGUAAUCUAAUUUUUUGUUGUCUGUUAUAAACUUGAUGUACGCUAUUAUGUUCAUCCAUAUGCAUUUUCAUUUGCGUAUGUUAGCUGCAAUAGUUUUACAUGUGUGAUCUUCACUGUUUGACAUAAGUGAACUGCAGUUCUUUUUGGCAUGCGUGAUCCAUACUUAUUUACAUAAGUGACCUUCAGUAUUUAACAUAACUGAACUGCAGCGUUUGUCAAAUCGAACUGCAUUUCUUUUUUUAUGUAUACGUGGGUUGCAGUUGUAGUUGUGUUUGACAUACGUGUGUUGGUGUUGUUUUGUAUAUGUGGACUGUAGUUGUUAUGUGUAUGUUGCCAGCAGUCUUCUUGACAUAAGUGUGUUGUGUGUUGUUGUGUUAGCUAUCCCCAUGCUUAUUUUUGUGUUACUGGGUGUUUUUUAAACUUUCCACAGGUUGGAGAACCAAACGUGGAAGUCCACGUUGAUCUGAAUCAGGGCAGUUGUGUUGUUGAUGACCGUGCCAGUGUUGAUGCUUCUGUAUCGGUUGCCAUUGAGUGUGCAGAUCCUUCUGUAGCUCAAGGAUCCCAUGAUGUUGUUCCCACCAGUCGGCAUGAAGAUUCUGAUGUUGGCAUUGAAAAGCCACUGGAGAAUGUUGCCCCUGCUGCUAGUGUUGUUUCUUCCCUUGUGUCUCUGGUGUCCAAUGAUGUUCCAGAAGUAUUGAUAGUGGAGCCUCAUGUAGUUGAAGUAUCUAAGGAAGCUGCUGUUGACCAGACUGUUGUAAAUCGAGAGAAUGCUGAUGUUGCUGCAGAAGGAAAGUCCAGUGAGGUUGUGGUGGAUUCGUCGCAACCUAUGCAAGAAAAUAUUUUGCUCAGUUCUGAAGAACAGCAGCCUGAAGACUCUGACACUGAAGGCAAGAGAUUUUUUUUUAAAUGGUGCAGUUUGAUGUUUUUCUCAUUCAUGUUGUUUAAUUACUAUGGUAUCUGUAUUAGAUGUUAAAUGAUAAGUGAAACUUUUGAUCUUUUGUCUAUGAUUUUCAAAAUAGCUAGCAGAAUUUCCUUAUCUUAAUAUUUAAACUUCAUUGUUUGGAUAAGUGAACUUCACCUUUUUUAUUGCAGAUGAUGAACUCCCUUUUGUGACACCGUCGAGCAUUGAUCCAGCUCUUCUGAAAAGAUACAAUGAGUUGUACGCUGCUGUUACAAGGGCUCGGAAGGACAAGAAGAAGAAGUAUGGUUUUUUAGAAAUUGUUUUGUUCAUAUGUAUUUUCUAAUUUUUGUAUUUACCCAUUUUUAUUUGUUGUUAUUUUUUUAGUAUCUUAUGUUUGAGUUUUUCAUGAAAAAUUCAGGGACAUGAUUGCUUUUAAAACUGAGAUGGGUGAUAUUAGCAUUGGCGAAGUUGGUCAAUCCUUUUGGGAUAAAGGGAUGCUCACUACAAGGCUUGUAGAUCUUGGUGUUUCUUUGCUGGUAGAUAAGUUUAAGAGAUCUCCGACAAUGGUUGUCCCGUACCAUAUUUGUGUAAGAAUGCAGCAAUUUUUGUUUUAUUUUUUUCAUUUUCUUUUCUGAUUUCGUGCGACGACUUGUUUUGCUUAUUUGAUUUUUGGUUUUGAUUUGGCAGACAAAUAUUUGGAAUGGUGGUACUGUAGGCAGGAGUGUUAAAAUGAUGUUCUCUUCAAAAGCCGAGGAGCGUGUUGAUAAAAAGGAUAUGGUGAGAGACUUUUUUAUGUGUAUUUUGCCUGUUUUGUUUUUAUAUCGUUCUGUUUUUUCUUGUUAUAAUAAUUUUAUUUAUUUUUUCAUGCUUCCAACAGGUCCUUUUUGCAACUUUUGAUCCGCCAGGAACGAGGGAUGGUGUUGGUCAUUAUUGUGUAGUUGCAUUAAAUGUGAAAGAAAGGCGGUUUGAAUUCCUUGACUCGCUCAACAAACCUGGCAGCCCUGAUGCGAUUAGGGUUUUUAGGAGGAUGGUUAAAAAUAUCAAGCGUGCAUGGAAAGAAGGUAGCUUGAGUUCUGAUGAGCCGCUAAAUCCUCCCACACUUGAUGGAUUUGUGUUGAAACAUGUCAUUGUCCCAUUGCAGCCAAAUGGGUGCGUUCUUUACAGCCCUUCUGUGUCAUACUAUUCAAGUUUUUUUUUCACUUCAUUUUUGUGAAACUGAUGUUUUUUAUUCUUUUUAUUGCAGGCAUGAUUGUGGAUUCUAUAUGUUUCAAUUCUUGCAGACAUGGGAUGGUGUUCGAGUUGCUAAGUUUGGGGUGGAGCACAUUGGCUACAUCAGAAAGGCCAUGCUCUAUAGCCGGCUAACAUCGAGGAAGUGUUGCCUUGAUUUAACAUCACUUCUAAUUUUUGCAGAUAAAGGUUGUUUUAUUGAACUUCUUCAUCCUCGCUCUAUUUUAUUUUUUACUAUUGCUUGGUUCCGCUUCUUUAUGGGCAAGUGCUGCAUUGUUAUUUUUAUAUGUGGGCUGCAUUGCUGUAUACAAGUGCGGGUUGCAUUGCUGUAGAGAAGUGGGCUGCAUUGUUAUUUUUAUAUGUUGGCUGCAUUGAUGUAGAGAAGUGGGCUGCAUUGUUAUUUAUAUGUGGGCUGCAUUGUUUUAUACAAGUGUGGGCUGCAUUGAUGUAGAGAAGUGGGCUGCAUUGUUAUUUUUAUAUGUGGNNNNNNNNNNNNNNNNNNNNNNNNNNNNNNNNNNNNNNNNNNNNNNNNNNNNNNNNNNNNNNNNNNNNNNNNNNNNNNNNNNNNNNNNNNNNNNNNNNNNNNNNNNNNNNNNNNNNNNNNNNNNNNNNNNNNNNNNNNNNNNNNNNNNNNNNNNNNNNNNNNNNNNNNNNNNNNNNNNNNNNNNNNNNNNNNCAUUAUUUUAUACAAGUGUGGGCUGCAUUGAUGUAGAGAAGUGGGUUGCAUUGUUAUUUUUAUAUGUGGGCUGCAUUGUUUUAUACAAGUGUGGGCUGCAUUGUUGUAGAUAUGUGGGCUGCAUUGUUAUUUUUAUAUGUGGGCUGCAUUGUUGUAGAUAUGUGGGCUGCAUUGAUGUAUACAACAGUGGGCUGCAUUCUAUUUUUUCUCUAUAAAUGUUUUCAGGUUCUUGUGUUUUGUACUGAGUGCUUCCAUGUUUUUUCUCCAUGUUUUUAGGAUUUGAUUGGGGGCUUCAUGAAGGUUGUACGUCACUGUUUGAGUCCCAGGGUUCUGAUGUGGUUAUGGAGGAUUGUGUCAUUGAAAUCUCUCCAGAUAAUUCUGGUUUGAACACAAAUGUGGCGUCUGGACCUGAUGGUGGAAGUGUCUCUCGACCUAGCUCUCCACAUGAUGUAUAUGAUGUUGAUGAUGAUGAUUUUGUUACACCGUGUGCACGUGUAACUAGGACUAGGAGUGCAGCAAUUAAUCGUCCUCAUUUGGAUGAGGUUGAAGUAUUUUCGAACAAGAGGGCAGGUGAGAGGGCUUUUAAGUUGAGAUGCUCUAUAGAGAAAUUGAAGCCUCCGAGGUUCAGAUAUAUGGAUGAGGCGAUUAAAAUAAAGGAUCUUGUUCUCAGCAAAGAUUUUGUAACCAAACACCACGAGUAAGUUUUUUAUGUGAUGCGUGUGCCCUUUCAUGCUUUUUGUGUGUUUUGAUUUUAGUUCUAAUUUUAUUGAUCCCAUCUGUGUAUGUUUACUGCAGGAAUGCGUUCUUUAUGGUGCAUGGUCCUUUUGGUGAUGAUGUCGAUACUUACAAUUUCGACUAUAUCUACGAUACAUUUCGCAAAGGAGCUUUAAUGGAUUUGUAUAUCAUGGAUUUUGUUAUCAAGUACUGGAAGCAAGACCCUGAAUUGGGUUUAGCUUAUCAAUCCGGUGAACGUUUGCUACUUUCACCUUAAUUUUUCACGGUAAACGUUUGUUGUCAUUCUUUCCUACUGCACUGGCUUUUUCAUGUCCAUGCCUGCUUGCAUUGUUUAUUAUUUUUUUUAAUGUCCUUUUUUUUUCUUUUUUGUGUACAGUACGUUCUUCAAAUGGAAACCUCUGUGGCGAGAGAUAAUGACGGAAAUCCUGUGUUGCCAGUUGUGCAUAGCUCUUUUGUUUUAGAAGAUGCAGUUAAUCAGUUCAAAUUUUUUGUGAACGACGGCAAACCUGUUGGAUGCAAAACUGGUAAAUUCAUUGUUUUUUGUCAUUUAUUUUUCCUGGUUUGUUGCAUUUCUUUUUAUAGUUAUUUUUGGAACAGUGGUCCUGGUGGUACGUGUCGAAAGAACUUUUGAUUUCAUUUUUUUUAUGCGAACAGAUUAUGAUGCCGCGAUUCAAGGAUGGUCAUUAUUCCUUAUACACGAUGAACCAGCAUCGCCAGACCCUUGAUAUCCAUGACAGUAGGAAGUACACUAGCCAUCCUGAUGUCACGACAAGGUGGCGCAGGACUGACUACCACGCAGAUUGCACUGAAGUGGUAUGUUAUUUUUUCUUUGCCAACCGUAAAGCUUUCUUUGUGUUUCUCCCACUGUAUUUUUUUAUAAACUGCAAUUGUUUAUGUAGUGAACUUCAACAUAUGCGCGAUAGAACUGCAUUUUUCUCACGUGCACUUAAAAGAGGGAUUGUUUAGAUGUUUGAGAACAACUUUUUUUGGGUUCGUUUGAAUAUCAACUUUUUGAUCCGUGAUGUGUGUUAUUCUUACCUUGUGCUUCUUUUUUUUCUAGAUGAGGAGGAUGACUCAGCUACUGAAGGCGAUUUAUGGUGAAAAAAUGUAUAAAUCGAGGAACCUUCCUGACUGGGUUAAAUUGGCAGAGAAGCCAUCUUACCCGGUCGUGCCAGCGCAGGGAGAAAAUGAGUGUGGAAUCUAUGUUCUGAGGAUGGCGCAGUUGUAUGACGGCCAACGUCUAGUUGAGAAAAUUUUGAAAUCUGACGUAACAGCUUCUCUGUUUUCUUUUUACUUUUUUGUUCUUUAUGAUAACCUUUUUUUAUAAUCACUUGUUUGCAUUUGUUUUCUUUUUUUCAGCCUGCUACUGAAGAUUGGAAGGCGGAGUACAUGUUCCAGCUGCUGUUCAAUCCUUUGAACAUGUUGUGUUAUGAAGACAUGCCUCUUGAGUUACGUGAACUGAUUGCGGACCUCGGGCUCACUUCCCUGUCGUAAUCGCGGACGCAGUAACAGUCAUUUGGGGUACUGUUUUUCUACUGGGUGCAAAAGGCUGUGCGUGGACAAUAGCUAGGUUUUGAUGUUGUGUUUGUGUGUGCUGACUAUGUAUGAAAAAGACUUUUUUUUGUCGUUGUGUUUCUUCUUGUUCGUUUACGCGGCAGCGCAUGUGGAUGAAUUUGUAUAUGUAUGUGUAUUUUAUAUCAAUAACUGAUACAAUAUAUAUAAGUGUAUAAUUUUAUUUUUUGUUGAUGACCACGGUCUAUGCGAACUGGCAUUUUGUCACGCUUAUAUGUAUGAUACGUGUUUGAUGAACUGUAUCGCAUUUGAUGCCGAACUUCUUUGUCCAAUAUAAGAGAACUGCAUUUAUUUUUUGGCAUUCAAGCAAAGUGCUGCACUUGUGUGUAUGCCGAAACUGCAUUGCUUUAUGACACCGAAUAGCUUUUUUUUGUCAGAACAAAAAAUGCAUUACUUUUUGCCUAUAGUUGCGUUUUGUAGUUGGUUUUUUAUUUGUUUGUACGUUAAGGUACAUGGUGGGGGGGUUGGGGGGUGUCCCCCCCCCCCAAAUUUUUUUAGUUGUCUAUAUAUUUNNNNNNNNNNNNNNNNNNNNNNNNNNNNNNNNNNNNNNNNNNNNNNNNNNNNNNNNNNNNNNNNNNNNNNNNNNNNNNNNNNNNNNNNNNNNNNNNNNNNACAGAAUGUCCGCACUGCGCCUGUCAACCAAGCGCACUGCAUGCAUUAGCGCGAGGCCGAUCAGGGGGUGGGGAGGGGGGUCGUGACCCCCCCUCCACAUCCCCCUGCGAGGCCGAGCCUGGAACGAACCAGAGCAGGUGGCGACGCGGCUUGCCGCGGCGCCGCAUGCGUAGGCGAGUCGGUCAUACCCCGUCGCCCCCCUGUCUAUCUUAGGGUUUGGGGGGUGGUUUUGCGCGCGUCCCCUUUGAUGGAAAAAACAGAAUGUCCGCACUGCGCCUAUCAACCAAGCGCACUGCGUGCGUUAGUGCGAGGCUGAGCAGGGGGUGGGGUUCUUGUCGUCCUUCAUUUAUGUGUUGGGGCCCUUGUCAUUUGUACUGCUUUCACCAACGUUGAGUACUGCACUUCGUGUAGCAAGUGUGUUUGUUGGGGCCCUUGUCGUUCUUCAUUUAUGCAUGUACUGCACUUCACGGAUACACUUGUUGAACUACCUUAUGUUGGUUCUGUGAACUGUAUUGACGUUUGUUUAAAAAUGUACACGGAUUAUAUUUUUUUAGAUAUAUCAAUAUUAAUUUUUAUUUUUAUAUAAUUACUAUUUUUUGUGGACUGUUAUGUUUUGUAUGUGCGUACUAUGUUUUGGUGUCACUCAUUAAAUUUUUCAAAGUUGUGUAUAUACUUGUUCUAAUGCAAACUAAUUUCUGCGAAAGCAAUUAUAAAAGAAAUAUUCGAUAUGAAGCAACGGACAUUAUCAAAAUCUUGCAUACAUGAAACAAAGAACACCACAACGCUUAAAGUAAAGUGAGACUAAACACAGCUCUGAUUUUUUCUAGUUGCUGUAUUGGAUUACAGCCUUGUUCUUCUUCUUCUUUUCUUCUUUGUCUCUUUUUGCCCUGUCCAGUCCCAUUAUGACAUCGUAGAUGAUUCUCCAUGACUCAUAUGUUGCGAAUGCAUCUAUUGCUGCAUACUUGAUAAGCUUGUUUGGCAGUGGGCAAAAUCCCCAGAGAGUAUGGUCCUCCUUGUGGUUAAUUUUUUUCUUCAUGUCAUUGUAGUGAAUGGCUAUCAUCCUGCCAGCAACAUCAGCCAAAGAGUCAAACUUCUUUUUAUUGUAUGGGUCUCUCCAUUUCACCUGAAUAUCAAUGUAGUUGUUGGAGUUGAUAUCCAAACCAGAUACCUUCAGCUUGCUUUUCUCUCCUUCAAUAGCGAAUCCGACGAAGGUGUACUCAUCAUUAAUCAGGAAUUUGUCUAGUUCCAUUGGCCUGCAAUAUAUUUGUAUAGAGUGAAUAUAUUUUAUUUCUUUAGAACUAGCAAUGUUUUUUUUGUGUUUUCUGAAACUGAACUGCAAUAUGGAUAUCUGAAUCUGUUGCAUUGAGCAGUUGCUAAUACUUUGUUCAGCAUAACUAUUAAAUCUGAUAAUAGAUUGCAUAAACAAUGCAUGUUUUGUGUAUGCUUGUAUUCCCGAACCUAAUUUCAUACAUGUUUUGUAUGGUAAUGUUGCAGUGAAGAAACUAUAAUUAAACCGUGUGUAUUGCUAGAUAAUAUAAUUCAAGAAUUGAACACAUGAGUGACAUACAUGGAGCCAGAUCAAAACUAUCAAUAAAUUCAUAUGCCACGCUUUUUCAAGAAUGAGAACCAAAGGUUAAAUAUUAUGGCAAUUGCAGUGAAGAAAAUUUAAAAUCAAUAUUGGCAAGAAACAGAUAUUCUUACCUGUCUUUAGCUGCAGAUAUGUGGUAGACAAGGCAUUCUUUUUCUACGCAUAGCUUUAGUACCGCUGCACGCUGUGGCUUCUCGUAGUGUGUGUACUCGACAUCAACGCCGACUAGUUUGACGGGCAUUCCGCCGAGCUUCCUCCUGAACGUGGACAGCAUCUUGUCCACGUCUUUGCCCUUGCUUGUGCAAAGGACGUGGAGCUUGUGAUUGCCGUGGAGGUGGACGUCGUGGAGCUCCCUGGUGUACUUGCGGCGCUGGUUGCAGAGAGGUGCAUCCGCCAUGAUUCUCGUGUGUUCUCUGGUGUUUGUUAUAGAGAGAGAGGUUAGUGAAAGGAAGAGCGGAGAAGAAGAUGCAAUUGGGUUUUUUGGGGGGACGAAGCAGUUGUGUUUUCUCCUCUGCUCUGCUUGACAGGACGUGGGAGAGGUGGAGCAGGGCGGUAGCGUGGUGGGGCUCUGUUUUAAGUUUACGUGGCAACUGCCGAGAGGUUCUGCUAUGAGGAGGCUCUUGCUAGUGCGUUGGAAAUCCGAAACGUCGUCGCCUCUUUUUUUGUGAUUAGAUCUAUGUAUUGACGCAACUGUCAGAAAAUGUGAUGAUUGUAUUUUCGGUCAAUUGUCCAAGUCAGUGCACUUCUUUUCUAUCAGAAACGAACUGCUCAGGUCCAAGUAGUGUACUGCAAUUUGAUUCACACAGAUGUACUUUUUUUCUUCUCUUGAUGGUGUUCUUUCUUUUCUUUUUUUGAUCUUUGUGGUAAUACAACGUUUGUGCGGAUGGAGGGUAAUGUGGCUAGGGGUUGUCGAAGUGUUUUGUUUAAGUAACAGUGCUGCAUUCUUAUUUCAGCCAUACUGCAUUGCAGAGCGAAGAUAACUGCAAUUCAGAAAAAAAAAUUGUGCUUCCACUUGGAGAACUGCGUUGUUGUACGUCGCUGACUGCAUCUGUACGUUGACAUUGGGCUUCCUGUGUUUUAUUUAUUAAUAUUCUUACAGUGCUGACGCACAUUUUAUUUUGUUUGUUGUUAUUCAUUUAAAAAAAUGUUUGUCAUUUUUUUUAAUGUUUUAUUUUUGAGCGUACUGUUUUUUCUUAGUGGGCUUUGUUGGCCAUGUGUUCUGGUAGUGAAGACGGAAUUGGGCCCAGGUCGGCCUGUGAGCACACGGCUGGUUCCCGGUGCGCUGUGUGUGCGUCCUACUGUUUAGUCCCACCUCGCCCGCGGAAGGCGCGCCCGACUUGUUUAUAAGCGCUGGCGAGGCAUACUGGUCGAACUCCUCUGUAUACUUAUCUGGGCGCUUAUACAUGGCGCUCGCUGCUAUAUGCUAUAUGACCUGUGGGCCCAUGUGCAACCGGCCCCAUGCACUGUGACUCAGAACGACUUGCCUUCUGUGGGCGUAGACCUAUUACGAGACUAGUUGGGGCCGGUGCCACCUGGGUGGUCAAUUUUUUUUCUUUUUAUAUUUCUGCCCUGUGUGUUUUUUUUCAAUGUUGGAGUGUGCACUGCAUUGAUCAGGGUUCUGUACUGCAUUGUAUACGCAUUGCGUACUGCAUGUACAGUUGUCAAUUUUUUUUGUUUCCGUCUUUUUGCUAUCAGUUAAUCUUUUUUCCUAAUGUAUGGGAGUGCACUGCUUUGUAAAUCAUACCUGUACUUCACUCAUUAUGGUUCUGUGCUGUACUUUCGUGUACUUCCGGACUGUAUUGAAUUAUUUUACGUGUUUUGUGUUUUUCUAUUUGUGUUUUUGCUCUUAUGUAUUCCUUUUUUGAAAUUUAUGUUCGUGCACUGCUUUGUUGGGUAUGUUAAGACUUCAUUCGACAAAUUCAGUGUACUGCAUUCGUGCGCAACUUGCACUGCAUGCGUCCUGUUUGCAUUCUGUACGACAAUUUCAUCACCAGCAAGCUAAGUUCAACAGAAAGCAAACUAACAUAAUCAGAGUUCAUCAUUACAGGCGAUUGUGCAUGGCAAGCAAACUAGGUUCAGCACACAAGCAAACUAACGAUACAUAAG
rnacentral:lncRNA from 1 species